rnacentral:lncRNA from 1 species
CCCGGCUAACUUUUUUUUUUUUUGUAUUUUCAGUACAGACGGGGUUUCACUGUGUUAGCCAGGAUGGUCUCGAUCUCCUGACCUCGUGAUCCGCCCGCCUCAGCCUCCCAAAGUGCUGGGAUUACAGGCGUGAGCCACCGCGCCCGGCUGAAGCCCUGCUCUUCUCCUCAGCUAUGCUGGGUGCAACAAUUUUGGCACCCAUCAAGUGGAAGUGAGAAAAACCUUACAAAUUAGAAAAUAGAGGAAAAUAUGGUUGCAUCUCUCUUUCCAUGUGAUGUACAGCUCUUUGUGUUUCCUUUUUUCAUUUUUAAUAAAUGCUCUG